UACAGAGGGUGCGAGCGUUAAUCGGAAUUACUGGGCGUAAAGCGCACGUAGGCGGCUUUGCAAGUCGGUUGUGAAAUCCCCGGGCUCAACCUGGGAACUGCAUCCGAGACUGCAUUGCUAGAGUAUGGGAGAGGAAAGCGGAAUUUCUGGUGUAGCAGUGAAAUGCGUAGAUAUCAGAAGGAACAUCAGUGGCGAAGGCGGCUUUCUGGACCAAUACUGACGAUCAGGUGCGAAAGCGUGGGGAGCAAACAGG
rnacentral:rRNA from 1 species